rnacentral:misc_RNA from 1 species
GGUUUCUGUUAUGGUAAGAAAGUGCACAGAUAUUUAGAAAACCACAACUGGUAUUCCUGCAAUUACAGACAUAGAAAAGCCGGAAUACUGGGAAGGCAAAUGCCUAACGAAAGGAGCUAUUGAACAAAAGAAAAACUGAACCCUAAACGAAAAGCAAGAAGGUAAAAUGGUGUUUUGGACAACAAAAAAGCAGAGUUUGAAACGAUCAUAACGUCUUCUCACCAUCACUAAUGGACUUAGGCCGCCAUUACAGGUAGUCUCUUAUGCUCCAAAGCUUGUCGAAGCCUUUGGUAACCAUUUCUAUAGUGCUCGAGUGAGAAGCAAAGCUGCCUAAUUGCUUCGCGUUUCUCUUCUGCUCCUUCCAAAACUAUUUCCUUUUGUCUCUCUACUUCUCUUUCCACUUCUUUAACUCUAGACCUCAGCUCCUCUACCAAUUUACGGGCACCUUCAGUUUCAGAAAUCAACUUGACGUGCUCAAUGUGAAGUUGGUUCAAAUGGUUGUUCAUUUGAUCAAUCUGAUCAUCUUUAGUUCUUAGAUCUUCAUCUAGCAAGGCAACUCUAGCAUUUAGGUUAUCUUUCUCUGUUUGCAAUGCAUCAUAUUUCUGGUAUAAUGCAUCAAGGUUUCUGUUCAGUUCUUCGAUAUGGUUGUCCCUCUCAGCAAUGGUCAACUUUAACUGCUCGAUUUCAGAUUUUAGCAGCAUUUCCAUUUCUUCUUUCCCUGCUACAGCUCGUCUAACAUCCUCCUCUAAUGAUUGGCAACGUAGAUCCAUUUCUUUGAUACUAUCCUCCAAAUAUGCUCGUUCCUUCAAUAAUUUGGUAAUUUCACAUUGAAGAUCCAAGUUCUCUUCUGCCAAAGCCUUGUUGGCAUUUGAUAUUGAUUCUUUCAGUCCUCUGAUUUCU